rnacentral:lncRNA from 1 species
AUCCCGACAACAGCCAGGAGGACCCGCCUUAACUGAGCUGAACUUUGCUAAAUCUAGAAACUCUCAGCUUGGUUCAUGUAACUUACCUAGUUUUAUUACUUCAUUUGGUUUCUGAAGGUCAGAACUUUCCUAAAUUGGCUAGGUACCAGUUGAUUGGGGAAAUACUAAGAGAAAUGAAAUCUAUGAUCUGAUGAGGUGGGAUUCAGUGUGAAGAAAGGGGUAUACAGGAGAAGUAAUAUGACAUGAAGUACCUUUCAUCCUCAGCAAAGUCUGCAUAUGACUAUUGACAUGAGUCAUUAAGAGCUCAAAAUUGGUCAAAAAGCUGCAGCGACAACUUGCGACAACUCAUUUGGCCUAGGAACUGCUAACAAAGGUACAGUGCUGUGGUGGUUCAAGAAGUUUUGCAAAGGAGACGAGAGCCUUGAAGAUGAGGAGCCUAGUCGCCGGCCAUUGGAAGUUGUCACCGACCAAUUGAGAGCAAUCAUGGAAACUGAUCCUCUUACAAUACUCGAGAAGUUGCCAAAGAACUCAAUGUUGACCAUUCGAUGGUCGUUCGAUCUGAAGCAAAAUGCAAAUGUGAAAAACCUCAAUAAGUGGGUGCCUCAUGCUGAGCAAAAAAAAAAAAAAACCAUCGUUUUGAAGUGUUGUCUUCUCUUAUUCCAUGCAACAAUGAACCAUUUCUCGAUCAGAUUGUGAUGUGUGAUGAAAAGUGGAUUUUAUGUGACAACUGGUGAUGACCAGCUCAGUGGCUGGACCAAGAAGCUCCAAAGCACUUCCCAAAGCCAAACUUGCAUCAAAAAAAGGUCAUGCUCACUGUUUGGUUGUCUGCUCCACUAGAGCUUCUUGAAUCCCGGCAAAACUGUUUCAUCUGAGAAGUAUGCUCAGCAAAUCCAUGAGAUGCACUGAAAACGGCAAUGCCUGCAGCCAGCACUGGUCAACAGAAACGGCCCAACUGUCUCCAUAAUGACCCUUGACUGCAUGUCACAAAACCAACGCUUCACAAGUUGAACGAAUUGGCCUCAUCCGCCAUAUUCAUCUGACUUCUCGCUAACCAACUUCCACUUCUUGAAGCAUCUCGACAACUUUUUGUAGGGAAAACGCUUCCUUGACUAGCAGGAUGAAGAAAAUGCUUUCCAAGAGUUUGUAGAAUCCCGAAGCACGGAUUUUUACGCCACAGGAAUAAACUUAUUUCUUGUUGGCAAAAACAUGUUGAUUGUAAUAGUUCCUAUUUUGAUUAAUAAAGAUAUAUUUGAUCCUAGUUAUAAUAAUUUAAAAUUCAUGGCCCAAAACCGCAAUUACUUUUGCACCAACUUGCUACCUAGGUACUAUGCUAAGCACUAGGAAUAGAGAUAAGACAGAAUUUCUGGUAACUGUGUAUGUGUGAUAUGUGCCCUAACAAAGGUAAGAACAGGUGCUUCCUCAACAUCUGCUUAUCUCCCGCUUAACCCAGAAACUGGCUGUCAGGCUUGGCACAAAUAAACUCAACUUUCCACCCUCUCAUACUCCAACUUGCCCUCUUCUCCUUCAUUCCACUCAUGUAAAAUGAAAUACCGUUCAUUCUGUCCAAGACCAACCCCACCAGCUGUGCUCUCAGGUACCACUUUUCACCUCUCGUGGGGUCCUGCUCUAUCGGUUAUCUACUCUCAUGUUUUAUUAACCAAAAUUCCGGUGGGAGGUGGAGGGGGUAUCUCUACUCACGGCAGCAAUUUACGCACUUCUGAUUCAUGUCUCAACCCCCACAAUCUGGGUUCUGCCAUAACCACUUGACUAACAAUGCUGCUCUGGUAAUGGUACCAGAGGCUCUACAUUGCCCUCUUUAUGAACUGGAUAUUGCUUAGACAAGCCACCCUGCUGACCACAGCUACCUUCCCCAAACAUAUGACUAUCUUGACUUCUGCAACACUACUCUUUACUUGAUCUCCUCCCAUUUCUUCAACCCUACAGUAGUUAGCCAAGGGACCAUGGCGGGGGUCUCUGAGACCUUUCAGGGGAUCCACCAGGAAAACUAUUUUCAUAGUUAUCAGGAAGACAUCUGCAUUCUCUCAUGAGUAUACAGGGGAAAUUACUAGACACUAAGUGAUAUGUGAUAUAGCAACAAAUUGUAGAUAGCAACAAAUAUAAGCACCCAGUUGUCUUCUAUUAAGCCAAACAUGAAAGAGACUUGCACUAGUGUCAAACUAUCAAUCUGCUGAUUUAGGGGGAGGAAAAAUGGUUAUUCUUCAUAAAAGUGUUAUUUAACAUAAUGGAUUUAGUCACUUUAAAAUAGGUGUUUUUAAAAGCUUUUUUUUUCUAAUAUGAUAAAUGCGUCCCACAUAAAUGAAAGCUUUUUGGGGUCCUCAGUAAUAUUUAAGAACGUAAAAGGCCUAAGACCAGUUAAGUUGAAGAACCACAUUCUUAAACUUUGUCUUCUUGGCUCUUCUUCAGCCAACUACUUCAAUUUUGAUGUUCCCU